UACGGAGGGUGCGAGCGUUGUCCGGAAUCACUGGGCGUAAAGGGCGCGUAGGCGGCCCGGCAAGUCUGUGGUGAAAGCUCAGGCUCAACUCUGAGUCGGCCACGGAUACUGCGGGGCUCGGAGCACGGUAGAGGCAGGUGGAAUUCCGGGUGUAGCGGUGGAAUGCGUAGAGAUCCGGAAGAACACCGGUGGCGAAGGCG
rnacentral:rRNA from 1 species